UUUGCUAAAUGAAAUACCUGGUAUAUUACAAUAAUUAGUACUCUGAACUGUUUAAAAUUAAGACUUCUUCCUACAACUGAAUCUUAGGUAAAGAUGGACACCUGCAUGAGGGAAGGAAUAUGUGAGCAGCUUCCAUUUCCCUUCCAUGGUCUUCUCAGCUUCCUCCAACAGUAGAUUGUUCAGCCUCCCAGUAUGAAUUCUCUGAUGUUCGGUAAGCUGUGAAUGAAAUCUGAAGUCCUUGCCACAUUCCAUACAUUUGUAAGUUUUCUCAUCAGUAUGGAUUUUCUGAUGUCGAGUAAGUUGUGCAUGCACUCUAAAGGAUUUCCCACAGAAUGAGCAUUCAAAGUGUUUCUCACCAUCAUGAACUCUUUGAAGUGGAGUAACUUUUCCAACUC
rnacentral:lncRNA from 10 species